rnacentral:rRNA from 1 species
AUGAACGCUAGCUACAGGCUUAACACAUGCAAGUCGAGGGGCAUCAGGAAGAAAGCUUGCUUUCUUUGCUGGCGACCGGCGCACGGGUGAGUAACACGUAUCCAACCUGCCCUUUACUCGGGGAUAGCCUUUCGAAAGAAAGAUUAAUACCCGAUAGCAUAAUGAUUCCGCAUGGUUUCAUUAUUAAAGGAUUCCGGUAAAGGAUGGGGAUGCGUUCCAUUAGGUUGUUGGUGAGGUAACGGCUCACCAAGCCUUCGAUGGAUAGGGGUUCUGAGAGGAAGGUCCCCCACAUUGGAACUGAGACACGGUCCAAACUCCUACGGGAGGCAGCAGUGAGGAAUAUUGGUCAAUGGGCGCUAGCCUGAACCAGCCAAGUAGCGUGAAGGAUGAAGGCUCUAUGGGUCGUAAACUUCUUUUAUAUAAGAAUAAAGUGCAGUAUGUAUACUGUUUUGUAUGUAUUAUAUGAAUAAGGAUCGGCUAACUCCGUGCCAGCAGCCGCGGUAAUACGGAGGAUCCGAGCGUUAUCCGGAUUUAUUGGGUUUAAAGGGAGCGUAGGUGGACUGGUAAGUCAGUUGUGAAAGUUUGCGGCUCAACCGUAAAAUUGCAGUUGAUACUGUCAGUCUUGAGUACAGUAGAGGUGGGCGGAAUUCGUGGUGUAGCGGUGAAAUGCUUAGAUAUCACGAAGAACUCCGAUUGCGAAGGCAGCUCACUGGAGUGUAACUGACGCUGAUGCUCGAAAGUGUGGGUAUCAAACAGGAUUAGAUACCCUGGUAGUCCACACAGUAAACGAUGAAUACUCGCUGUUUGCGAUAUACAGUAAGCGGCCAAGCGAAAGCAUUAAGUAUUCCACCUGGGGAGUACGCCGGCAACGGUGAAACUCAAAGGAAUUGACGGGGGCCCGCACAAGCGGAGGAACAUGUGGUUUAAUUCGAUGAUACGCGAGGAACCUUACCCGGGCUUAAAUUGCAGUGGAAUGAUGUGGAAACAUGUCAGUGAGCAAUCACCGCUGUGAAGGUGCUGCAUGGUUGUCGUCAGCUCGUGCCGUGAGGUGUCGGCUUAAGUGCCAUAACGAGCGCGACCCUUAUCUUCAGUUACUAACAGGUCAUGCUGAGGACUCUGGAGAGACUGCCGUCGUAAGAUGUGAGGAAGGUGGGGAUGACGUCAAAUCAGCACGGCCCUUACGUCCGGGGCUACACACGUGUUACAAUGGGGGGUACAGAAGGCAGCUAGCGGGUGACCGUAUGCUAAUCCCAAAAUCCUCUCUCAGUUCGGAUCGAAGUCUGCAACCCGACUUCGUGAAGCUGGAUUCGCUAGUAAUCGCGCAUCAGCCACGGCGCGGUGAAUACGUUCCCGGGCCUUGUACACACCGCCCGUCAAGCCAUGGGAGCCGGGGGUACCUGAAGUACGUAACCGCAAGGAUCGUCCUAGGGUAAAACUGGUGACUGGGGCU